rfam:Jeongeupia sp. TSM3, complete genome.
GCCGGUGUAGCUCAGUUGGUAGAGCACCUGACUUGUAAUCAGGGGGUCGCGAGUUCGAAUCCUGCCGCCGGCA